GUGUUGGAGCAUCUUGCAGCAAAUAUACUAAAAUUGCAAUGAUACAGAGAAGAUUAGCGUGGCCUUUCCAUAUGGUACUUGCAUUAGAAGCACAGUUUU
ensembl:snRNA Gm24773 predicted gene, 24773